UUCACUGGAUUAUUUGUUUUUUGGGUGUUGAGUUUGAUAAGUUGUUUAUAGAUUUUGGAUACUAACCCUUUAUGUGAUAUGAGAACAACGACAAUUUCAAACGCUAUCAUUCUUGUAAGUAAAUCACAACAUCAUAAAGCCAGGCUCUGGCAUUUUUUUUCCCUUUGGCACACAAGCAGAAUAGUCCCCAGCAACAUUUUUCAUACUGCAGAUUGGGAACCACCAGUGUGUUGUAAAGUAAGAAAAAAUUUUUGUGAGGAAAUAGAACAUAAGAGGAACACUCACAUUUUUUCAGCUCGGUAAGGGCAAGAAUUGUUAUCUGCAGACUUCUGUUCCAAUGAUACAUGCCAAGUGUUUUCUGGGUUAUAACUGUAAAGAGAAAUUGUCCCGAGCCCUGAGUGAUGGAAUCUUCUUUCUGGGAAGAAACUAACAUUCCUGCUAAAGCAUUGAAGAUUUUCUCAAGUUAAUGGGAUUAAGUCUUGCUCAAGGAAAUGGGUUACCUACUCACCCAACUGACUGUCAGUAUCAGUUAAGAAUCUAGUGACCUUUAUCCAAAUAUAGUAAAACCCUGGACUGUGAGUAACUUGUUUUGCAAGUGUUCUGCUAGAUUAACAAACAUUUCUAAUAAAUUUUAACUUGAUAAACGAGCCACGUCUUGCAAUACAAGGAGUACAUGAUGUCAAAUGUCACAUGACAACAACUGAGCCAAUGGUUCUUGAAACUCACUUUGAUAUACAAGUGCUUUGGAUUACAAGCAUGUUUCUGGAACAAAUUAUGCUUGCAAAUCAAGGUUUUCCUGUAUUUCUUUUUUCCUUUCUUUUUUUUUUUUUACUUGUUAGUGCAACAAUAGCUACUUUGUUUUUCCAUAAAACGGCUCCACCACAAAUAAAUCUUUGAAUGGUUUACUACAGACCUUUUGUUUUUUGAACAGCAAGAUUGUAAACAUAACUCUGAAAUGUGUUCGUAAUUAGAUCGAUAAAAAGUUUCCUUAACACUAUGUAAAAUAUUUUUCUUUCUGUGGGUCAAGAUAAGAAAAGUCUGAAAGUCACCGAUUCCAGGGGACAGGACAGUGGCAGGCUGGUGGAAAAGAACACAUGGAAAUUGGUAGUUUCCCAGGGUGGGACCCUAGAUCUCCGCAGUGGAUUACAGAGGCUCUCAUCCCCAGACAAUACCUUCGAGACCAGGUCCGGGCUCACCAAGGGAUCCCGGCAAACAGGGUCUGCAUCAGGACAUCACUCUGGGCUGACUCCCGCCUCUGUGUGAGUGAGCUGAGUAGCCUCAGGCCAGGUUGACUGAUGUGGCCAACAGGUGGAGGGCGAGUCUGAAGGGCAGAGUGCAAGAAGCUGGAGUCUACAAUAACCCUGGGAAUAAUCAUCUUAUGGGUCUUAGAUCUUCUUGGAAUUCCUGGCCAUGGAAAGCAACAUCUUGUGGCCUCACUAGAUGAUAAAACCCACAAACACAUGAGGUUGCCCGUCAACGAUUGUUGCCCUUACCAAGCUGAAAGGACAUAUCCUAGGACAUAGUGAGUGUGCGAUAACAUCUGUAGAAUGAAUGAAUGUGAACUUUCUGUCACCAAGGGGUCCUGGUGUGCCUCCCUCUGCUCAGAAGUCCUUUUUCUACUUUCUUGGACAGGUCAGGGCCUAGCCCAGGGCUGGUUGAUGAUUGCUCCUCCUGGUUCCUGGGUUUCUAACUCAUGUGUUUCUUUCCCAAAGGGCCAGGGGCUGGAGCUUGACUGGUGGGCUUUUGGCCAGGGCCCUCAAAGUAAACGAUUACCUGGAUCCUAUUUCCAGGGACUUGGCGCAAGCUGUUGGCUCUCAGUAUGACCAGUCAGAGGAAAGAGGAAAUUAACAGAGAAAGAAAAAUAGAGCAUAGAUAAUUAUUGUAAACAUGACAGCAAGGGAAGGAAAAGGAGGGUAUAUUUACUGUAUCAUUGAACAGUGAAUGGAAUAUUAGAUGAGCAAAUCCCUGAAAACGAUUAAAGAUAUCUUAAUAUUUUAUAAAGGGGGUCAUUGGGCAAUAUGUACAUUCUGAAAUCACGAACUUUAGAACAUGAAAUAAAUCAUGUUUGCGUAUCUCUGUUUGUUACUCUGCUGGAAAUGAUUUGAUCUGCUUAGUAUGAGUUAGUACUAUGGAUUCCCAAAAGUAUGUUUUCUUCUUUCUUUUCCUCACAUAGUUGAAUAUUUAAAAGCAGGUUGACGGUUUUAUGUCUUUACUUGUUUGUUUCCAUUGUGUCUUAGCCUGGGUUCUGCAGAAGACAGGCUUCUUGAAGAUUUUGCUGGGGAGUGUGAGCUCUGGGAAAGCAGGAAUGUUGUGUAACUGAGUUGCCUGCAGCAAUUAUCUGCAAUCACUGAUUCCUGGUGGCAGGAUCAUGCCGGACCCCCUGAGGAGCCAUAUGCAAUGAAUCUGAAGACUGGUCAUCAGGGGAAGAAAGUGGAAGGAUUGCCUGCCAAGUUCUGUUCCCUGUAGGCCAUAGGUUUGCCUGUCAGAUGUCAACUCUCACAUCUUCCAGGAUGGAGAUUUUUGGGUACCAAAUGGGUUCCCGAGGCAUCCCACUCUGUGUCCACAGAGAGGCGCUGGUGCGGGCAGUGAAGAGCCUUGAGGUGUAAGUGGGGAUGACAGGAGCUGUUGUCUACCAACAGUUGUGAUGUGAUUCCCUCUGCUUUCUGCCAUGACUUCUUCACCUGUAACCUUCUGGGAGGAGGAGAAAACUUGGACACACAAAGAGACACCAGGGAUGGGCACGGAGGAAAGACCAAGCGAGGACACGGAAAGAAGGAGGCCACUUGUAAGCUGAGGAGAGAGGUCUCAGGGGAAAACAGAGCUACCAGCACCUUGACCUUUGGCUUCGAGCCUCUACAGCAGUGAGAAAAUAAAUUUCCAUUGCUUAAACCA